GAUUAACGCUGUCGGCGUGCAUAACACAUGCAAGUCUAACGAUCAAACUUAGUCGACUUCUUCGGCUAGACACUAAGCGGAUUAGUGUCGAACGGGUGAGUAACCCGUGAGUAACCUGCCUUACACCAGGGGAUAGCCUUUGGAAACGUCGUAUAAUACCCUAUAACACUAUCAAAGCACAUUCUCUAAUGGUCAAAGUGAUAGCGGUGUAAGAUGGACUUCCGUCUGAUUAGCUAGUUUGUGAGAUAAAAGCUCACCAAGGCAACGAUCAGUAGCCGGCUGGAGAGAGUGUACGGCCACAUUGGGACUGAGACACGGCCCAGACUCCGACGGGAGGCAGCAGUGGGGAAAUUUGCACAAGGGAGGAAACCCUGAGGCAGCGACGCCGCGUGAUUUAGAAGGCCUUCGGGUUGUAAGAAUCUUUUGUAUAGGAAGAAAAUGACAGUACUAUACGAAUAAGGUCCGGCUAAUUACGUG
rnacentral:rRNA from 1 species